UUGAUCCUGGCUCAGAAUCAACGCUGGCGGCGUGCCUAACACAUGCAAGUCGAACGCGAAAGCCCCGCAAGGGGUAAGUAGAGUGGCAAACGGGUGAGUUACACGUGGGUGACCUGCCUUCGAGUGGGGGAUAACGUCCCGAAAGGGACUCUAAUACCGCAUAACAUCCUGCCUUUGAAGAGGUGGAGAUCAAAGCUGGUGAUCGCAAGACCUAGCGCUCAAAGAGGGGCCCGCGUCUGAUUAGCUAGUUGGUGGGGUAACGGCUCACCAAGGCGACGAUCAGUAUCCGGCCUGAGAGGUCGGACGGACACACUGGGACUGAGACACGGCCCAGACUCCUACGGGAGGCUGCAGUGGGGAAUUGUUCGCAAUGGGCGCAAGCCUGACGACGCAACGCCGUGUGGAGGAUGAAGACCUUCGGGUCGUAAACUCCUUUCGAUCGAGACGAAUAGCCUCCGGGUGAACAAUCCGGAGGAUUGACGGUACCGAGAGAAGAAGCUCCGGCUAACUACGUGCCAGCAGCCGCGGUAAUAAGGU
rnacentral:rRNA from 1 species